rnacentral:piRNA from 1 species
UCAUCACCAAAGGAUGCAGUACUAGAA